AAUGCAAAGUAAAGAUCCACGGUUAUUUUGUUCUCUUUUUUUUCUUUUUUUUUAAACAGAACUCUCUCCUCGAAGGUCUCCAAAACCGGUCUCUGAGAGUGUCGUGUCGUCGACCUGCCUAACAUUCUUGGUUAUAGCUCACUAACAACCACUGACUUUAACUCCCUCUAAAGGAAAAUUGCAUCUCUUUCUCGACUUGGUGACGCAGGAAAAAAGACUUUCUGGCUCAUAAUUGCGCAGAGAAGAAAGUAAAAGAGAGGAGGGAAAUGAAAGAAAACUACUCACAGAGAAGGAAAGAAAAAUAAGGAGGAGUGGGGUGAUGAAAGAAGGAGGAGAAGGAAGAGAGAAGGAAGAGAGGAAGACAAGGAUAUACGAUGAAGCGACAUGUUCGAUUUAUCCCGGAAUCUGUGCGGUUUCAUCAGAGUUUCUUUCUUAAGAAGACCGAAACUGCGUCUUGACUAUAAAAGGCACGAAAUCUUUAACGAAACUUGACUCUUUCUCUUUUCCUCUUCGACUCGUCACCGGUACGUUACAUCGCUACGUUUACGGUACCGCGAGGAAGCAGGUUAAGGACACUCGUCCUUAUAAGGACUCCUCCCUGAUCGUUCUCUUUCUCUUUUCUCUUCUCCUCUAAAUUCGACAGAGAGAAGAAAAACACCAAUGUUUUUCGCUCGAACCUCCGAUAAACACUUUUUACUGACGUAAUUCGUUUUAUAAUUCUCGUUGUGGAAAUGAGAAGUUAACGAAGCAAUGUUAAAAUUUAAUAUACAAAUUGUAAAGCACACAUGACACGAGAAAUAUUUCUGAACGCUUUGUGACAGUUUUCAAUUUAACAAAAAUUAUUCGGAAAAAGAAAUAACGAUUCUCUUUAAGUUUUACGAUAAAUCGAUAUUGAUUUUUUAUUAAUAUUCGGAUGGACGAAUAAAAUUGAUCGUUUUAAUAUUAAUCGAUUACGAUUAUGAUCGAUUAUGCGUUUAAAGAUUUGGAUGAUUUUUGGAACGUUGUUCGGAAUGUGAUAUAUACCGCGGAUUGAAAGAAGAAAAAUCAGCACGUACGAGGUACAUGCAUGACGUCAUUCCCUCGUGUCCUAGAAUGCUUGCCAUACGUAAGCAGAUAUUUCUAUAUCGUAAGGCCCAAUAAAAACCACAGUUCUUUUAAUUAAUAUCGAUCGAUAAAACUCUGCAUGAUCUUCAGAUGCGAUUUCAGCUAGACUAUUUAUCAAAUUACCAACAAAGAAAGUAUUCAGAUAAAAAAUGUCUAACUUUGAUAGUUUUUUUUUUAAAUAGGAAAUCGAAUUCAUCUAUAUCGUGGAAGAGGCUAAUUUUUAAAAUUCAAUAAUCAAAUUGAUAAUUAUGAAGACUAUCAAUUCUUUUCUUUGUCCUAAUUGCGCAAUUGCCGAUAUUAUGAAUAAAAAAAAAAAUAAUAAUAAUAAUAACUGACAUUGCAUUUUAAUACGUAAAAAUAUCGGUAUCUGAUAAUCAAAAGAUAAUAUCAACAAUUAAAAUUUUUCAAA